rnacentral:rRNA from 1 species
UACGUAGGGUGCAAGCGUUGUCCGGAAUUAUUGGGCGUAAAGAGCUCGUAGGCGGUUUGUCGCGUCGGCUGUGAAAUCUCGGGGCUCAACCCCGAGCCUGCAGUCGAUACGGGCAGACUAGAGUGCUGUAGGGGAGACUGGAAUUCCUGGUGUAGCGGUGAAAUGCGCAGAUAUCAGGAGGAACACCGGUGGCGAAGGCGGGUCUCUGGGCAGUAACUGACGCUGAGGAGCGAAAGCGUGGGGAGCAAACAG